AGCGAACGCUGGCGGCAGGCCUAACACAUGCAAGUCGAACGAACCUUUCGGGGUUAGUUGCGGACGGGUGAGUAACACGUGGGAACGUGCCUUUAGGUUCGGAAUAUCUCAGGUAAACUUGUGCUAAUACCUAAUGUUCCCUUCGGGGGAAAGUUUACUCGGCUUUAGAGGGGCCGGCGUCUGAUUAGCUAUUUGGUUGAGGUAAUGGCUCACCAAGGCCUCGAUCAGUAGUUGGUCGGAGAGGAUGUUCAGACACAUUGGGACUGAGACACGGCACAAACUACUACGGGAGGCAGGAGGGGGGAAUCAUGCGCAAAGGGCGAAAGCCUGACGGAGGCAUGCGGGGUGAAUGAUGAAGGUCUUAGGAAAGUAAAAUUCUUUCACCGGGGACGAUAAUGACGGUACCCGGAGAAGAAGCCCCGGCUAACUACGUG
rnacentral:rRNA from 1 species